rnacentral:rRNA from 1 species
UACGUAGGGUGCAAGCGUUAAUCGGAAUUACUGGGCGUAAAGCGUGCGCAGGUGGUUGUGCAAGACAGAUGUGAAAUCCCCGGGCUCAACCUGGGAACUGCAUUUGUGACUGCACGGCUAGAGUGUGUCAGAGGGGGGUAGAAUUCCACGUGUAGCAGUGAAAUGCGUAGAUAUGUGGAGGAAUACCGAUGGCGAAGGCAGCCCCCUGGGAUAACACUGACGCUCAUGCACGAAAGCGUGGGGAGCAAACAGG